CCUACGGGGGGCAGCAGUGGGGAAUAUUGCACAAUGGGCGCAAGCCUGAUGCAGCCAUGCCGCGUGUAUGAAGAAGGCCUUCGGGUUGUAAAGUACUUUCAGCGGGGAGGAAGGCAGUCGUGUUAAUAGCACGAUUGAUUGACGUUACCCGCAGAAGAAGCACCGGCUAACUCCGUGCCAGCAGCC
rnacentral:rRNA from 1 species